AUUGAACGCUGGCGGCAGGCCUAACACAUGCAAGUCGAGCGAGUGGCGGACGGGUGAGUAAUGUAUGGGGAUCUGCCCGAUAGAGGGGGAUAACUACUGGAAACGGUGGCUAAUACCGCAUACUAUCGGAUGUACCCAUAUGGGAUUAGCUAGUAGGUGGGGUAAAGGCUCACCUAGGCGACGAUCCCUAGCUGGUAUGAGAGGAUGAUCAGCCACACUGGAACUGAGACACGGCCCAGACUCGUACGGGAGGCAGCAGUGGGGAAUCUUGCACAAUGGUCGCAAGCCUGAUGCAGCCAUGCCGCGUGUAUGAAGAAGGCCUUAGGGUUGUAAAGUACUUUCAGCGGGGAGGCGUUACCCGCAGAAGAAGCACCGGCUAACUCCGUGCCAGCAGCCGCGGUAAUUC
rnacentral:rRNA from 1 species